rnacentral:rRNA from 1 species
GGCAGCAUGGAGGAAGCUUGCUUCUUCUGAUGGCGACCGGCGCACGGGUGCGUAACGCGUAUCAAACCUGCCUCAUACUCGGGGAUGGCCUUGCGAAAGUAAGAUUAAUACCCGAUGUUGUUAUGUUACCGCAUGGUGAUAUAACCAAAGAUUUAUCGGUAUGAGAUGGUGAUGCGUCCGAUUAGGUAGUAGGCGGGGUAACGGCCCACCUAGCCAUCGAUCGGUAGGGGUUCUGAGAGGAAGGUCCCCCACACUGGAACUGAGACACGGUCCAGACUCCUACGGGAGGCAGCAGUGAGGAAUAUUGGUCAAUGGACGGAAGUCUGAACCAGCCAAGUAGCGUGCAGGAUGACGGCCCUCUGGGUUGUAAACUGCUUUUAGUUGGGAAUAAAAAAGAGGACGUGUCCUCUAUUGUAUGUACCUUCAGAAAAAGGACCGGCUAAUUCCGUGCCAGCAGCCGCGGUAAUACGGAAGGUCCAGGCGUUAUCCGGAUUUAUUGGGUUUAAAGGGAGCGUAGGCGGAUUAUUAAGUCAGUGGUGAAAGACGGUGGCUCAACCAUCGUUAGCCAUUGAAACUGGUAGUCUUGAGUGCAGACAGGGAUGCUGGAACUCGUGGUGUAGCGGUGAAAUGCUUAGAUAUCACGAUGAACUCCGAUCGCGAAGGCAGGUGUCCGGGCUGCAACUGACGCUGAGGCUCGAAAGUGUGGGUAUCAAACUAGGAUUAGAUACCCUGGUAGUCCACACAGUAAACGAUGUAUACUCGCGGUUUGCGAUAUAUUGUAAGCCGCCAAGCGA